rnacentral:rRNA from 1 species
UGGUGGGGUGACUUGUCUGCUUAAUUGCGAUAACGAACGAGACCUUAACCUGCUAAAUAGCCCGCAUUGCUCCCGGCAGUGCGCUGGCUUCUUAGAGGGACUUUCGGCUCAAGCCGAAGGAAGUUUGAGGCAAUAACA